UUAAUUCUUUCCACUGUCAUUUUCUAGACAUUGACGCCUGUCUGUCCAAUCCGUGUGAUGGGAACGCCAUGUGUACAGACAACCCCGCCCCUGCACUUGACGCCACUUGUACCUGUAACGCUGGAUAUGAGGGAGACGGAACUUCGUGUUCAGACAUUAACGCCUGCCUGGUCGAUCCGUGUGAUGUGAACGCCGUGUGUACAGACAACCCCGCCCCUGCACUUGACGCCACUUGUGCCUGUAACGCUGGAUUUGAGGGAGACGGAACUUCGUGUUCAGAUGUCGACGAAUGCGCCAGUAACAACGGUGGGUGUGCACACACGUGCACAAACAACGUCGGAAGCUUCAGCUGCUCUUGCCGGGCCGGCUACGUGUUGAAUAAUGAUGGUUUUGCCUGCGACGGUAAGUUUGGGCUAC